UGAGGAAUAUUGGUCAAUGGGCGGAAGCCUGAACCAGCCAUGCCGCGUGAAGGAAGAAGGUCCUAUGGAUUUUAAACUUCUUUUGUCGGAGAGCAAUAAGGGUCUCGAGAGAUCCGAUGAGAGUAUCCGACGAAUAAGCAUCGACUAACUCCGUGCCAGCAGCCGCGGUAAUACGGGGGAUGCGAGCGUUAUCCGGAUUUUAUUGGGUUUAAAGGGUGCGUAGGCGGAAGUGCAAGUCAGCGGUGAAAUCCCCGCGCUCAACGCGGGAGUUGCCGUUGAUACUGUACAUCUGGAAUGCUCUUGCCGUGGGAGGAAUGAGUAGUGUAGCGGUGAAAUGCAUAGAUAUUACUCAGAACACCGAUUGCGAAGGCAUCUCACGAAGGGGCGAUUGACGCUGA
rnacentral:rRNA from 1 species